GAUGAACGCUGGCGGCGUGCCUAAUACAUGCAAGUCGAGCGAACAGACGAGGAGCUUGCUCCUCUGACGUUAGCGGCGGACGGGUGAGUAACACGAGGAUAACCUACCUAUAAGACUGGGAUAACUUCGGGAAACCGGAGCUAAUACCGGAUAAUAUAUUGAACCGCAUGGUUCAAUAGUGAAAGACGGUUUUGCUGUCACUUAUAGAUGGAUCCGCGCCGCAUUAGCUAGUUGGUAAGGUAACGGCUUACCAAGGCAACGAUGCGUAGCCGACCUGAGAGGGUGAUCGGCCACACUGGAACUGAGACACGGUCCAGACUCCUACGGGAGGCAGCAGUAGGGAAUCUUCCGCAAAGGGCGAAAGCCUGACGGAGCAACGCCGCGUGAGUGAUGAAGGUCUUCGGAUCGUAAAACUCUGUUAUUAGGGAAGAACAAAUGUGUAAGUAACUAUGCACGUCUUGACGGUACCUAAUCAGAAAGCCACGGCUAACUACGUG
rnacentral:rRNA from 1 species